rnacentral:rRNA from 1 species
CCUACGGGAGGCAGCAGUAGGGAAUAUUCGGCAAUGGACGCAAGCCUGACCGAGCAACGCCGCGUGAAGGAAGAAGGCUUUCGGGUUGUAAACUUCUGUUGUCAGGGAAGAGUAGAAGACGGUACCUGACGAAUAAGCCACGGCUAACUACGUGCCAGCAGCCGCGGUAAUACGUAGGUGGCAAGCGUUGUCCGGAUUUACUGGGUGUAAAGGGCGUGUAGCCGGGUUGACAAGUCUGAUGUGAAAUCCUGCGGCUUAACCGCAGAACUGCAUUUGAAACUGUUGAUCUUGAGUACUGGAGAGGCAGAUGGAAUUCCUAGUGUAGCGGUGAAAUGCGUAGAUAUUAGGAGGAACACCAGUGGCGAAGGCGGUCUGCUGGACAGCAACUGACGGUGAGGCGCGAAAGCGUGGGGAGCAAACAGGAUUAGAUACCCCAGUAGUC